rnacentral:lncRNA from 1 species
ACACAUCUCCCUUCGUGUCCUAGAUAAGGUUCAACGCUUAAGAUUUAAGGUUAAGUAUAUGAAAUCUCACAAGGAUAGUUCCCUGAGCCCAAAGAUUAAUGGUCACUAGAGCUAUGGCCCUCUUCAAAGCGUCUCCACAACAGCCGAGUAAUCAACUAGAUGCGGAGAGACAAAUGAAGAGAACAUACUCUAGCUGGGUUCUCACGAUAGCCAAACAGGAAGUAUGUCCCAAAUGGAACCGCUACACAACCCCUCUAUAUCUAGGCUACACUCAGACCCGGGUAUAGGGCCUCACUCAUGAUAUGCAUAAAGUGUGUGUUGAAGGGAGAACACCAUGUACACCCAAACCCUCACCUGCAAAACAACCAAAAAAAUCCCAGGCAGAUAUAAACAUGUUUUCUACCCU